AAAAAAGAAAAAGAAAAAACAACUUCAAUUCACCCAAGUUUUUGGUCUGAAAGUGACUAAAGAGGUGGUGUUUUAAUUGAGUAAUGCCAUCAUGAUCACUGUUUGUUAUAACAAUAUCAUCGACAUAAACCACCAAAUAAAUGCUCUUACCAUGAGAAGUAUGACAAUAACGAACUGAAUGAUCAGCUUCACUUCGAGUCAUCUCAAAUUGUUGAACAACACUAUUGAAUCAUCCAAACCAUGUCCUUGGAUUUGAAGAAAUAAAGAAGAAGAAGGAGGAAUUUGUGGAAUAUUUUGCUUGAUUAUUCCCUGGAAACAUACAUAACUACAGGCACAAAUCUUCCUAAUUAAUAUGACUAACUACUUCCUAAUCUAUUUACAUAUUGUUUAGUCCAUAAAUGCUGUGUGGCUAAUUGACAAUGUCCAACUACUUCAACUCUAUGAUUUAUGUCUGCCGCUGGUAAUGUAUGCUUGUAAAGCCAUCACAUGUUUAUUUAUUUAGUAAAUAUGUGACUUUUGACUG
rnacentral:misc_RNA from 1 species